UACGUAGGGGGCAAGCGUUGUCCGGAUUUAUUGGGCGUAAAGAGCGUGUAGGCGGCCGUACAGGUCAGCUGUGAAAACUCGAGGCUCAACCUCGAGACGUCGGUUGAAACCGUACGGCUAGAGUCCGGAAGAGGAGAGUGGAAUUCCCGGUGUAGCGGUGAAAUGCGCAGAUAUCAGGAAGAACACCCGUGGCUAAGGCGGCUCUCUAGUACGGUACUGACGCUGAGACGCGAAAGCGUGGGGAGCGAACAGG
rnacentral:rRNA from 1 species